rnacentral:misc_RNA from 1 species
UUAAACUAUGUUUUGGAUUCAGACACAGACUCUACAGCAUAAGGCGGCGCCGAAGCGCCGAAGCACGUUUCGCUUCCACAGGUUUGAAGGGUUGAAGGCCAAAAGGCCAUUCAGUAAUGAUCCCUCCGCAGGUUCACCUACGGAGA